AUGGUUUCGAAGCUGGCCCUGCGCGGUGGCAGGGCGCCUCCCGUUUCAGGGACAAGCGGAUAUGGAAGAACUGAAGCGGGACCUGGGCCUCACCCCUAUCCCGCCAGUGCCCUUCACUGCACACCUCACGCCUCUGGGACCCCAAAGAGAGACGCCGGGAUCUUAAGGCAGGAGCAGUCUCGAUGGCUGCCAGCGCUGGCGGUGGGACCCAAGGCUGCCCCACCCCAAGCCAGCUCGGGCGCCUGGGCGUGGGGGCCGCCUGUCCGAGAGCAGCAGGAGGUCGACCUGGCUAGAGCUAGGCGGCGCCCGAGAGCAAAGGAGCCUGCUCCAGCGUUGGCCACAGGGCAGAGAUCCCCGCCUGAGAUCCUGGAGAAAAGGAUAAUGGCACUCGGGACGAAGACCAUUCUCAGCAAUCGGACUGUGGACAUUCCAGAGAAUGUCGAAAUCACUCUGAGGGGGCGCACAGUCAUUGUGAACGGCCCCAGGGGGACUCUACGGAGGGACUUCAAUCACAUCAACGUGGAGCUGAGUCUUCUUNGGAAGAAAAAGAAAAGGCUCCGGGUUGACAAAUGGUGGGGUAACAGAAAGGAACUGGCCACCGUCAGGACCAUCUGCAAUCAUGUUCAGAACAUGAUCAAGGGUGUCACACUGGGCUUCUGAUACAAGAUGCAGUCUGUGUACGCUCACUUCCCCAUCAACGUCGUCAUCCAGGAGAAUGGCUCUUUGGUUGAAAUCCGAAAUUUCUUGGGUGAAAAAUACAUCCACAGGGUUCGGAUGAGGACAGGUGUUGCUUGUUCUGUGUCUCAAACCCAGAAGGAUGAGUUAAUCCUUGAAGGAAAUGACAUUGAACUUGUUUCUAAUUCAGCUGCCCUGAUUCAGCAAGCCACAACAGUUAAGAACAAGGAUAUCAGGAAGUUUUUGGAUGGCAUCUAUGUGUCUGAGAAGGGAACUGUGCAGCAGGCUGACGAGUGAGGAGGCCUCAGUUCCUGGCUCCAGAAACGAGAUCCUGAUCACAAGAACAAUUUGGGCUCUUUUGGGAGAAUAAAAGGCUUAUAUAU